rnacentral:rRNA from 1 species
AUUGAACGCUGGCGGCAGGCCUAACACAUGCAAGUCGAGCGGAGCGGCGGACGGGUGAGUAAUGUAUGGGGAUCUGCCUGGUAGUGGGGGAUAACGUCCGGAAACGGGCGCUAAUACCGCAUACUAUCAGAUGAGCCUAGGUCGGAUUAGCUAGUUGGUGGGGUAAAGGCCCACCAAGGCGACGAUCCGUACCUGGUCUGAGAGGAUGAUCAGGAACACGGGAACUGAGAGACUGCCCAGACUCCUACGGGAGGCAGCAGUGGGGGAUAUUGCGCAAUGGGCGAAAGCCUGAUGCAGCGACGCCGGGUGGGGGAUGAAGGCUUUCGGGUUGUAAACCUCUUUCGCUAUCGAACGGGUAGGUGGAGAAGAAGCGCCGGCUAACUACGUGCCAGCAGCCGCGGUAAUUC